rnacentral:rRNA from 1 species
CAAGCCGCCGCGGGGAUACAGAGGGUGCGAGCGUUAAUCGGAUUUACUGGGCGUAAAGCGUGCGUAGGCGGCUUCUUAAGUCGGAUGUGAAAUCCCUGAGCUUAACUUAGGAAUUGCAUUCGAUACUGGGAAGCUAGAGUAUGGGAGAGGAUGGUAGAAUUCCAGGUGUAGCGGUGAAAUGCGUAGAGAUCUGGAGGAAUACCGAUGGCGAAGGCAGCCAUCUGGCCUAAUACUGACGCUGAGGUACGAAAGCAUGGGGAGCAAACAGGAUUAGAUACCCCAGUAGUCCCUGUCUCUUAUA